GGCUUCUUGGGGACGCCGCUGGUGCCGGAGCCGGGGGACCUGCGGCUGACAGGGCGGCCGGGCGAAGCGUGUGGUUCCAAAAUCGCUGCUCCUGUUCCUACCGCUCCUCCUGUUCCUGUUGCUGCUCCUCCUCCCGUGUCCCUCCUCUUCCUCCUCGUGCCGCUGCUCCUCUUCCUCCCGCUCCUCCUCCACUCCCAGCCCGGCCUGGCCCGGUGCCGACACCCAAAAGCAGCCGCGCUCUGGCCCGGGGGGUUGCGGAGCGGCUGCGGUCCGCGCGGCGCUGGGAGUGCUACUGGGAGCACUGGGAAUGCCAGGGAGAGCAGCGGCAGCGAUGCUGAGAGCCCCGGGCAGGAACUGGGAGCGCUUUCCCUGCCAGUGCCGCUCUGACUGGGAGCGAACUGGGAGGAAAGAGCGCUCCGGGGCGAUGGCGGCCGUUGGUGGGCGGGGCUAGAGCCGUGGUUAUGCAAAUUUCGGAGCGAUCGCGCGCUGCGAUUGGUGGGCGGGAGCAGCGCGAGGUUUCGGCGGUGACGUCACCGGCGUGAGGGGAAGGGAGCGAUGGCGGCGGCGUCCGGAGAAAGCUGGGAACACACUGCCACCAUCCAUUUAAUCCUCCACUGGGACAGCAGUCAGAGGUUGGCCAUGUUGUUGUACAAAUCACUGAAGUCAGAAGGAGUCCACCAUAGCCUAUCACAUCACAGUGAGUGUUCCUCUGGGCAUGGAGAGUCACAGGCUGGAGCACACUGCCAGCUGGAAAGGAAUUUUCAGACAAAUCUGAGAAUGGGCUUUGCUUUCUUGGUGUUGCUUUUCAGCUGCCUUCUGAAGGGAAGCAGUAAUACUGGGGUAUCUCCAGAGUUAGGGGUAAUUUGCUCUUUUUUUUCCUAGAAAAGUGACCCAGCAUUUUUUCUACUCAAAGUUAAAAUGCUUUUUGAAUACUUUUUAAAAUACUUUUAAAAUGCUUUUUUUAAAAUACUUUCCAGAUCAGACUUUCAGGCAGCCUGACCCCAUCUGUUCUGCUGCUGGUGCUGCUUAUUUUAUCUGCCCCUGAUGUUAACUUUUGCCCUAAGUGCAGUUACCAAGAGCAAUUUGAGCCUUCAUUUUGGGAGACCUGAACCCUUUUCUUGCUGGUCAGGUAGGGUGACUUUUUGCAUCUGUUCCAGCUGAGUUCAUCUUUUUAGGAUGAGGAUGACUAGAAUUAAACCUGGUUCCAGAGGCCUCAGCAGUGCUUUGUUCCACAGGUAUUUCCCCCUUUGCUUUAUGUGUGGUGUAACCCACCUUGUGUUUAUCCUACACUGACCCUACUCCCAGCCAAUAUACAAAUUUUUCUCUUCUGUUUCUAUCAUAGAAGGAGAUUCCAGCUUAUGUCUGGAGUCCUUAUUCAUCCCUAGUUAAAUCUGUGAUUAUUUCCUAUUGUGGAGUGCUGAGAUACAUAUUAAUGAGAAGAGAUGCUGUCUAAGCUGUGUUUAGGUUUAAAAAGAGAGCACCACUCAGUUCUUAGAUCCUCAAAUGUCAGAUCCAUAGGUACAAUUCCAUAACUGUUUGCUACAUGUCUUCAUGGAAACACGUUGCUAUAGCAUUUUCUGCAGAUUUUAAUGCUGCCAUCAGAUGAGAUCCUCAGACUUUCAAACAGAAAUCAGAUUUGUUUUUCCCCCCACUCCUGAAUGUAUUCAAACUGGACAGAAGAAAUACUGCAAAUAAUUACUUUUAUAAAGGCUGGAAGGGGAAGUGGGAUUACAUCCUAAAGUUGUUUGGAUCAUGUGAUGUGAGUCCUUUAUUCUCCAGAUGACAAACGGAAGGAUUUUAUCUCACACAGUUUAAUUGCCUUUUUCUUUCAGUUUAAUAAGCACCAUAAAACAGCUAUGCUCUCUUCUCUGUGAAUGCACACUAUCUUGAAAUAGAGUUGAGAGUGAAUGGUAAUUGAAGAUUGGUUAAAAUUUAAGAUUUCCUUAUGUUUCUUUCCUGAAUCCUGAUUAAUUGCUUCAGGAGAUAAUUUCUUUUAGUAAAAAAAAUGUAUUAUUCCCAUUUCUGUCACAAAAUUCAGGUCUGAUAACAGUCUGCUGUUAACAUUUUUCAUUCCACAGUUAAGCUGAAUGAUGUCAAUACAUGUCCAGUGUUUCCAAGUCAGAUUUGUGUAUAACCAGCAUACAAAAAAAAAGAUUCCUUAGGACUCAGAAAUGUGCAAAUGAGGUGCAUUGGUACCACUGGCAAAGUGGUUGAAAUGUGUAAAUUCAUGAGUGAGCUCUGGGUUUUUUUAUCCCUGUCCUUCCCUGGAGUCCGUCACCAUUCUGAGGGGGCUGUGGAACUCUUCUCCCAUGAAAUCCUUUCUUCCACAGGCUGAUAAGGAUUCAUUCUUAAAUGCAGAGUAUAGAAAUGGAAAUUGAUUUUUGCACAAGGGAGUCAGUAGCUCGGCUAAUUCACCUGAAUUUCCCAGGAAUGUGACCUGAUUAUUUCAUAGUGAAAGACAGAGACCCAGGAUCCAAAUUCUGGGUAGGAAUUUUGUUUCCCUGAGCUGUGGAGGGUCUGCCAGGCCAGCAAUGCUCAGGUAAUAAACACAUCCACUCUUGCCAGUCUUGCUGCAGAGGGUGUAAAUCCAGAGGACAUAAGGGAACAAUUCAAAAUGACAGAAGACUGAGCUUUGUCCUUGGUUCCAGCAGCCACAUCCUCACCAUCUGAAACCAAUUACCAAACCUCACAAACAUACACAGAAUUCUUGUAUUUUCAAGGUGCAUGCCUGUGCCAAGUACAAGACAUCCAUCCUGGGCAGCCUGCUUUAUGUUCUGGCCCUUAUAACCCUUGCAAUGCUUUCACUGGGAGUCAGCACUCUGGAUUAAGUGGACACUUGGCUUCAGAUCCACCUUUGUGCCUCAGAGAAAUGGCAGAGAUUAGAUGCAGUGAAACAUUAAACUUGAAGAUUCUCCAUUAUGCUCUUUAGAAUAAUACUUGAGUUGCUUAUAAAUAGCAGAGGGGCUGCACAGAUCCUGCCCUUGUAGCACCUCUUGCUGUUUGUUCCUUUAAAAAGCCUGGGUUGGGUGAGGUGAGGCAUUCAGAAAUAGAAAUACAGGGAUGGGAGGCUUAAGACAUUUUGCUGGGGUUUGGGAUUGAUCUUGGUGUGGGACACACUGGAAUUUGGAAAGAGUCACAUCUGAUGGUAAUCCUGCCUGCUUUCCUCACACUGCACCAACCCAAAAUGUCAGCAUUCCUGAAAUGCUCAUAUCCCCACACUGUCUCUACCCGAGCAUUUUGGAUCAGCAAAGCAAUUUUGUGUUCUGAUUAAUGUUAAGAUUGACUAAGUCUAAGUUCUAGUAAGUUAAUUCUGUUAGAUUUAAUUUCUGUUAAGUUUCAGUAUCACUGAGUUUAGACAAUGUUUUGUUCCAGUUUUAUUUAGAUGACGUUGUGUUUGGUAUUAAUACUGAUUAACUGAGCUCUCUUAAGUGUGCUUUUUGUUCUACUGAAGUGAUAAUUAACACUAUUGAUUGCAUGGUGUGAAUUUACCAAUUUUUGUAAUAGGCACAACUCUUAAGAUAUUAAUGUUGUAUUUAUAGCUGGCUUUUUCAGGUGUUUUAACAUCUUUUGGUGUAAUUAUUGAUGAGACACGUGUCAUUUUUAGGAUCAUUUUUUUAAUGUCAGGGAAUUCUCUUCCAAUUAGGGCCUGGGCUCUGGCCACGCCCUGGCUCUACCUGGAUGGGAAACUGCCAACAGACCCAAGUGUUUUCUGCACAAAACAAUACUCAAGUUGCUUUGACUUGGCUAUUUGACCCUAUCAAUAUGACAGCUGAACUUAUUUUUUAAGUGAGCUUGGGAAUAAUUUUCCAGAGAUGAUUAUGCAAUUCUUCACUGAUUUGAGGUUGCAGACACUGGGAUGAUGGUACAAUGUUUUAGUGCUUGGUAAUGAUCUAAUUCCACAUAUGUAAUUAAUUAUGUCUGAUAUUAGAAAUGUGUUUGAUUGUUAUAUCUGAAUUAUUCCUGAUUGCUGUAAGUUUCUGGUCUCACUAGAUUUAAGACUCCUCAAUUGAAUGUACAAUGACAAAGCCUCAUUGAUUCACUAACUUAAAAAGAAGUUAUGCAUGUGUUUUUAUCAUCAGCAGGUUCAAAGUGAUCAUCUAUUGAAUUGUCUCUAAGAAAAUGAGGCCCAGUCAGAAGAUAAAUUCUCUAAACACCAUGCAGUUUUCAUGACCUGAACAUGAACAGGACUGCCAAAAUAUAGGCCUGUCUGGAAGCUUACAAAAGCAACCUAUCAAGAAAAAGCCUCAUGUCAUCAUCAUGGUAUUGUGCUCCUACUAACCUCCUUUAGCUAUUCCUUGUUUCAGGUUCUCAAGAUGGAAGUCCUGGGAUGCAGGACAUGGGAUCUUUGCAACCUGGUUUACCUUCCCUUCAACGUUACCUGUUAACUGGCAAUUGGUGAUUGUUGAUUUAAAAGAUUGUUUUUUCACGAUUCCUCCAUCUCACUGAGGAUGACAGUGAGAAAUUUGCCUUUUCAGUGCAAUCUAUAAGCAAGGCAGAGCCAGCAAAGAGAUGUCAAUGGGUAGUUUUGCUACAAGGAAUGCGAAACUCUCCCACCAUGUUCCAAUUGUACGUUGUUUGGGCACUGGCACCUUUGAGAAAACAAUAUCCACAGUAUCUUAUCUAUCCUUACAUAGAUGAUAUUCUGAUAGCAGGUGAGAGCAUGAAUGCAGCAAGCCUGCCACCUGCCCUGCAGCAGCAGCUGCAGGAGGCAGGCCUCCAAAUUGCUCCUGAAAAGGUGCAGCCUAACCAAAGGUGAUACAAAAGUGGAUGAAUGCAAAAGAUUGGGGAUUGAGCCGAAUGGAGAGGGCUUUCAAGCAGGUAUGAUAACACAGUGGCUGAAGGAAAGUGGGCUAGAAGCUGAAGAACUAAAUCUGUUAGGGUCAGUAGCUGGAAAUUAUUGCUUGUUCUUUAACUAUC